rnacentral:tRNA from 1 species
AGCCCGGUAGAGCAGCAUGGCUUCGCCGAGUGUAGCGGACAAGCAUGGUGGGCUUUGGACCCGCCGACGGGAGUUCGAAUCUCCCCCGGGCUACCA